rnacentral:rRNA from 1 species
UACGGGGGGGGCAAGCGUUGUUCGGAAUUACUGGGCGUAAAGGGCUCGUAGGCGGCCAACUAAGUCGGACGUGAAAUCCCUCGGCUCAACCGGGGAACUGCGUCCGAUACUGGAUGGCUUGAAUCCGGGAGAGGGAUGCGGAAUUCCAGGUGGUAGCGGUGAAAUGCGUAGAUAUCUGGAGGAACACCGGUGGCGAAGGCGGCAUCCUGGACCGGCAUUGACGCUGAGGAGCGAAAGCCAGGGGAGCAAAGCGGG